UUGUAUGAGGUGCUGAAAAUUACAAAAAAAGGAAAAAAAAGAGAAGAUUUGAAUGGCCCCUGCGCAAGGAUAACACGCAAAAUCGUGAAGCGUUCCACAUUUAA